GGGCCUGUAGCUCAGCCAGGUUAGAGCGACGGUCUUAUAAGCCGUAGGUCCGGAGUUCAAAUCUCCGCAGGCCCA
rnacentral:tRNA from 1 species